UACGAAGGGGGCUAGCGUUGCUCGGAAUCACUGGGCGUAAAGGGUGCGUAGGCGGGUCUUUAAGUCAGGGGUGAAAUCCUGGAGCUCAACCCCGGAACUGCCUUUAAGACUGCAUCGCUUGAAUCCGGGAGAGGUGAGUGGAAUUCCGAGUGUAGAGGUGAAAUUCGUAGAUAUUCGGAAGAACACCAGUGGCGAAGGCGGCUCACUGGACCGGUAUUGACGCUGAUGUGCGAAAGCGUGGGGAGCAAACAGG
rnacentral:rRNA from 1 species